rnacentral:rRNA from 1 species
GACAGAGGGUGCAAACGUUGUUCGGAAUUACUGGGCGUAAAGCGCGUGUAGGCGGCCCUGCAAGUCGGAUGUGAAAUCCCACGGCUCAACCGUGGAAGUGCAUUCGAAACUGCAGGGCUAGAGUCCUGGAGAGGAAGGUGGAAUGCUUGGUGUAGAGGUGAAAUUCGUAGAUAUCAAGCGGAACACCGGUGGCGAAGGCGGCCUUCUGGACAGUUCCUGACACUGAGGCACGAAGGCCAGGGGAGCAAACGGG